UUCGAUGCAACGCGAAAACCUUACCCACCUUUGACAUGUACGGAAUCCUUUAGAGAUAGAGGAGUGCUCGAAAGAGAGCCGUAACACAGGUGCUGCAUGGCUGUCGUCAGCUCGCGUCGUGAGAUGUUGGGUUAAGUCCCGCAACGAGCGCAACCCUUGUCAUUAGUUGCCAUCAUUUGGUUGGGCACUCUAAUGAGACUGCCGGUGACAAACCGGAGGAAGGUGGGGAUGACGUCAAGUCCUCAUGGCCCUUAUGGGUAGGGCUUCACACGUCAUACAAUGGUCGGUACAGAGGGUUGCCAACCCGCGAGGGGGAGCUAAUCCCACAAAGCCGAUCGUAGUCCGGAUCGCAGUCUGCAACUCGACUGCCGUGAAGUCGGAAUCGCUAGUAAUCGUGGAUCAGCAUGUCACGGUGAAUACGUUCCCGGGUCUU
rnacentral:rRNA from 1 species